rnacentral:rRNA from 1 species
CUGAACCAGCCAAGUAGCGUGAAGGAUGAAGGCUCUAUGGGUCGUGAACUUCUUUUAUAUAAGAAUAAAGUGCAGUAUGUAUACUGUUUUGUAUGUAUUAUAUGAAUAAGGAUCGGCUAACUCCGUGCCAGCAGCCGCGGUAAUACGGAGGAUCCGAGCGUUAUCCGGAUUUAUUGGGUUUAAAGGGAGCGUAGGUGGACUGGUAAGUCAGUUGUGAAAGUUUGCGG